ACGACUAUCUCAUGUUGAAUUGCCUGUAUCCGGACGAUCACCGAAGUUAAGCAACGUCGAUCCUGGUCAGUACCUGGAUGGGUGACCGCUUUAGAAUACCAGGUGUUGUAA